rnacentral:rRNA from 1 species
UACGUAGGGUGCAAGCGUUGUCCGGAAUUAUUGGGCGUAAAGGGCUCGUAGGCGGUUUGUCGCGUCGGGAGUGAAAACUCAGGGCUUAACCCUGUGCCUGCUUCCGAUACGGGCAGACUAGAGGUAUGCAGGGGAGAAUGGAAUUCCUGGUGUAGCGGUGAAAUGCGCAGAUAUCAGGAGGAACACCGGUGGCGAAGGCGGUUCUCUGGGCAUUACCUGACGCUGAGGAGCGAAAGUGUGGGGAGCGAACAGG